rnacentral:rRNA from 1 species
GACGAACGCUGGCGGCGUGCUUAACACAUGCAAGUCGAACGAAGUGGCGAACGGGUGAGUAACGCGUAAUCAACCUGCCCUUCAGAGGGGGACAACAGUUGGAAACGACUGCUAAUACCGCAUACUGAAGGAGGGGAUUGAUUCUGAUUGGCUAGUUGGAGGGGUAACGGCCCACCAAGGCGAUGAUCAGUAGCCGGUCCGGGAGGGUUAACGGCCCCAAUGGGACUGGGACAAGGCCCAGACUCCUACGGGAGGCAGCAGUGGGGAAUCUUCCGCAAUGGACGAAAGUCUGACGGAGCAACGCCGCGUGAGUGAUGACGGCCUUCGGGUUGGAAAGCUCUGUUAAUCGGGACGCGGUACCGGAAUAGAAAGCCACGGCUAACUACGUGCCAGCAGCCGCGGUAAUUC